GGUUCAUUAUACAUGAAGUUUAAAAUAGUGAAGGUGCACCCACCAGCUGCCUGUGGAUUUCCUAGCCUUCUACCCAAGUGAUGGCGAAGUUGUCUUGAUACAAUCUAGCAAUUCCAUUGUCUUGUGCAACAUGCGGAUGUGGGUAUUGAAAAUGGACAGCCAACUAUGAAAUAUGGGGAAAUUUUUAGCUGGUAACUCCUAUUACUGUGGCUGUACCUGCAAAAUCUAUCCUUCCACAUGCCAAACUGCACAUUGAAGUUUCCCUGCAACCCUUAUUUUAUGCUUAUGAUGCACCUCUUUGUUUCUUCAUGUGUUCCUACACUCUAAAAGGUGCCUCCAGCAUUAUUCCUAUUUGACACUGACCAUUGAUGGCAUAAACUCAGCCUGAAAGUCUCCAAGAGUUCAAAUUUACAUUUUAAAUAAGAAUGUCUCAUUGACAUUGUAAUUCUGGAUGCUUUUUUUUUUGGGGUUGUUGUCUUGAUGCUAUCAUCCCAUUUGUAGUGGAUGCUUUCAUAAAGAGUGACUAAAUUUUACGAUGGGUGUCAUCUCAUAACUGUUAUAAAAUUUGUACCCACUUUGUAUUA